UUCCGUAGGGUUACCUGCGGAGGGAUCAUUACUGAGUUAUUAAAACUCCAAACCCUUUGUGAACCUUACCGUCGUUGCCUCGGCGUGAGCUACGGCUACCCUGUAGUUACCCUAUAGCUACCCUGUAGCCGGCUUAUGGCCCGCCGAAGGACCGCCAAACUCUUGUUUUUUAUUACUGUUUCUCUGAAUUGUAAACCUAAAUAAGUUAAAACUUUCAACAACGGAUCUCUUGGUUCUGGCAUCGAUGAAGAACGCAGCGAAAUGCGAUAAGUAAUGUGAAUUGCAGAAUUCAGUGAAUCAUCGAAUCUUUGAACGCACAUUGCGCCCAUUAGUAUUCUAGUGGGCAUGCCUAUUCGAGCGUCAUUUCGACCCUUAAGCCCUUGUUGCUUAGCGUUGGGAAUCUACGGCGUAGUUCCUCAAAGUUAGUGGCGGAGUUAGGGUACACUCUCAGCGUAGUAAUCUCUCUCGCUCGUGUGGUGGCCCUGGCUGCUAGCCGUUAAACCCCUAUAUUUUCUAGUGGUGACCUCGGAUUAGGUAGAUGC
rnacentral:rRNA from 1 species